CAUAUGCAAACAAGUUGACAUUUACGGUUGAGGUGUUUGAAACUUUGAUUAAAAUCUUUCGUCUGCGAGCACACCAUAUCAUACACCACAAACGCAAAGCCUAUCCCAAGGCAAUGCCCCAUUUGCGUGGGAAAGGGCAAGAUGACUAUGUAACUCCGGGUAACAAACCACGUUCGCUGGGUACAAGCGCUGAUGGCAGACCCCAUGAAACCGUUGAUGUCAGAGGCACGUGCUAAGACCGGGCGGAAAGUGAAGAAGACAAAGCCGAGGAAUUACUACUCUUGCUGGCUGUGCGACCGGUCGGUGAUUGACCGGCUGCGUCAUCUAGAACAGGAGCACAAAAUGGAGGCUGGGACAUUCCAUUUCGUUUACACAAGAGGGCCGUUUCCGGAAGGUCACAAAAACUUCAGGAAAGGUGACCAGCAGACUCGCCACUCAUGAUGACUCGGCAUAGGAGGAUGAGAAGGUGGAGGAUGAAGAGGAGGAGGAAGAGGACUUCGUCCCUAACGCGGAAAUACUGCCUGAGCCUGGAACCCAAUGCAAGGGUGAUGCAUAGAUGGAGAAGCUGCAAGUAACAAUAUGCAUUGCUUAAAUAGUGUAAAGUCUCGAGUCCGUUUACGGGGUAGAAUCAGUACUUGGUGCAUUAAGCCCUGU